CACAACCGUUAUAAACACGUAUACUAUAUUUGUGAACACAUUAACGUGAACUGGCUAAUUUAAUCCAUUAGCAUAGCCAUUUCGACGAGAGGAAGGUUGUCCUCCGAGUCGGAAGAGGGCGGCAGAGAGAAAUCUCUCAGGAAAACAGCCGAGCAUCAACAAACCAAAAUGAUGGCGUGUUAGCGAAGCCGGCUGUUUUGGACACAUUUAUUACUUCGUCAUUAAGUUAAAAUGAAGUUGUAUUGUUUGUCUGGUCACCCCACAUUGCCCUGCAAUGUCCUCAAGUUUAAGUCCACCACCAUCAUGCUGGACUGUGGACUGGACACGACCUCAGUCCUCAAUUUUCUUCCCCUUCCUCUGGUACACAGCCCAAGGCUCUCCAAGCUCACAGGCUGGACCUCAAAAGAUGGAACGGUAAAUCUGGAAAAGGAGCUGAAGGAGUGUGCUGGAAGGGUGUUCGUGGACUCCCAGCCAGAGUUCUGCCUCCCAGAGAGAGAACUGCUGGACCUGUCAACCAUUGAUGUGAUUCUCAUCUCCAACUACCACUGUAUGAUGGCGCUGCCCUACAUCACUGAACACACGGGCUUCACAGGAACGGUGUAUGCCACCGAGCCCACCCUGCAGAUUGGCAGGCUGCUGAUGGAGGAGCUGGUAAACUUCAUGGAGAGAGUUCCUAAAGCCCAGUCUGCCACCUGCUGGAAGAACAAGGACCUGCAGAGGGUUCUUCCUGGGCCGCUGAAGGAAGCUGUUGACGUGUGGACGUGGAAACGAUGCUACAGCAUGCAUGAGGUCAACUCGGCUCUCAGCAAAGUGCAGCUUGUCGGUUAUUCUCAGAAAGUGGAGUUGUUUGGAGCUGUUCAGGUCUCCCCGUUGAGCUCUGGCUACUCGUUGGGAAGCUCCAACUGGAUCAUCCAGUCCCAUCACGAGAAGGUGUCUUACGUGUCUGGGUCAUCCCUCCUCACCACACACCCACAGCCGAUGGAUCAGAGCUCGCUGAAGAACAGCGACGUUCUCAUUUUGACUGGCCUCACACAGAUGCCCACUGCUAACCCAGAUGGCAUGCUGGGAGAGUUCUGCAGCAACCUGGCCAUGACGAUCCGGGCAGGAGGCAACGUGCUGGUACCGUGUUACUCCUCAGGGGUCAUCUAUGACCUGCUGGAGUGUCUGUACCAGUUCAUCGAGAGCGCCAACCUGGGGACCACACCCUUCUACUUCAUCUCUCCUGUAGCCAACAGCUCGCUGGAGUUCUCCCAGAUCUUUGCUGAGUGGCUUUGUCAUAAUAAACAAACAAAGGUGUAUCUGCCAGAGCCGCCGUUUCCACAUGCAGAGCUGAUCCAGACCAACAAGCUGAAGCACUACCCCAGCAUCCACGGGGACUUCAGCAGCGAGUUCCGGCAGCCGUGCGUGGUCUUCACCGGCCACCCGUCUCUGCGCUUCGGGGAUGUGGUUCACUUCAUGGAGCUGUGGGGCAAGUCCAGCCUGAAUACAGUCAUCUUUACUGAGCCAGACUUCUCCUACCUGGAUGCUCUGGCCCCUUAUCAGCCGUUAGCCAUGAAGUGUGUUUACUGUCCGAUUGACACGCGGCUCAACUUCCACCAGGUGUCCAAACUGCUGAAGGAGGUCCAGCCCCUCCAUGUGGUGUGUCCGGAGCAGUACACCCAGCCCCCCCUCAGCCAGUCCCAUCGCUCUGACCUGAUGCUGGAGCUGACGCCCCCUCCCAUGCCCUACAGGCGCUGCUCCGUACUCAACCUGCCCUUCAGACGCCGCUACGAGCGCGUUUACAUCCUCCCUGAGGGCAGCUUUACACCGGGAUCAUGAACGAAGAGGCCUGCCUCACGUCAGGUGGAAGCCCGCUCCGCUCUGAUUUCACAGUGCAUGUCAGGAACGCAUAAGAGCUGGUGGUUAGCGGACCUCUGAGAUGUAGUGGGCACGUAGGGGAUGAGCAGCUCAGAUAGAUGAGGAGGGGCUUCGUAGACAAACGUUAGAAGCAUCUACUGAACCCUGAAGAGAACGGAGCCAGAGUUGGCGUGAUGCGUCUACGUCUGUUCGUGUUUAAGAAGCGCGCCACAGCAUUCGGUACUGUCUGAAGACAGUCAAGGGAGGAUUUACUAGUACCUAGGAGGAUGGAAUUAGCAUAAUCUAACCUAGAGGUUGUGGAAGCACGGAUGACGGAUUGCAGGUGAGAUCUUGUGAGAACGUGUUAACCAGCGGAGUAAGAAGCAGAACUAUUCCUGGUUAUAAGUAGGAAAACCAACCUCCAGUAAGUAAAAGCUUCCAGUUAAAUAUGAAAGUUGAAUAUUCAGCUGACGGUGAUUCUUCUUUUUGUAGCUCGCCAACUCACUGACGCCCAAUGAGGUAAAACCUGGUGUCUCCGUGGCAACCGUCUCCGCAGUGCUGCACUCAAAGGACAAUAAGCACACUCUGCAGUCGGUGCCCAAACCGCCACCCGUGGCCCCCAGCAAGAAGAGGAAGAGGGUAGUGGAGGAGCCUCCUGUGGGUUUGGCCCCCAAACCCCUCCUGAGUGGAGCUGUGCCCCUGGAAAGUUUCCUGGUCACAUUACAGAAG